GGGGAUGGGGAUGGGAUGGGAUGGGAUGGGACCCCAAAGAUCCCAACACGGUGGUGAAGGUGGUCCUGGAGGUCCCAACGCGGUGUGCUGACCCCAAAGGUCCCAAUGCGGUGGUGAAGGCGGUCCUGGAGGUCCCACCCUGGUGGUCCCAAUGCAGUGGUGAUGCGCUGACCCCAAAGGUCCCAACGCAGUGGUGAAGGCAGUUCCGGAUGCCCCACCCCGGUGCUCCCCGCCGUCCCAGCGCAGUGGUGAUGCGCUGACCCCAAAGGUCCCAACGCAGUGGUGAUGCGCUGACCCCAAAGGCCGCCCCGUUCC
ensembl:lncRNA